GUGGGGAAUAUUGGACAAUGGGGGCAACCCUGAUGGAGCGACGCCGCGUGGAGGAUAAGGUCUUCGGAUUGUAAACUCCUGUCAUGCGUGAACAAGGUUGCUUGGUUAAUACCUGGGCAAAUUGAUGGUAACGCAAGAGGAAGAGACGGCUAACUCUGUGCCAGCAGCCGCGGUAAUACAGGGGUCUCAAGCGUUGUUCGGAAUCACUGGGCGUAAAGGGUGCGUAGGUGGCGUGGUAAGUCAGAUGUGAAAGCCCGGGGCUCAACCUCGGAACUGCAUCCGAUACUGCCAUGCUAGAGUACUGGAGAGGUGACUAGAAUUCUCGGUGUAGCAGUGAAAUGCGUAGAUAUCGAGAGGAAUACCAAAGGCGUAGGCAGGUCACUGGACAGUUACUGACACUGAGGCACGAAGGCCAGGGGAGCGAACGGGAUUAGAUACCCGAGUAGUCC
rnacentral:rRNA from 1 species